GGCUGCUUUCGUAGCCCAGGGCUUUGUUUGGGCAGACCUGCUUUGGUCCCGGUUCCUUUGCUCAGCAGUCAUGUUUGCUGCCAGUGUCUCACUCCCUGUUCCAGUGGUGACAGCAGCAGCUUCUCCUUAGAGGAGGAGGAGCCCGUCCUAGACGCAUUUGUUCUGUCCAUGUUUCAUCAAACGUCUCGUCUUAGGACUUGCAUGUCUUCCUUCCUGUGAAUAUAUAAUCCCAAUUUAUAUCUGGUUUUUUCUUUGGACUUGGUGAUUCUCCUACUGAUUUUUUUUUUCAUGUUAUAUGCUGUGGAUACUUGAUUAAAGAGAUCGGAUUUUGAUAUUUUUCAGUUUCUUGAUGUCAGCUGAAAGGUUUACGUCAUAACGUUUUUGAGCUUACGACUUGAUGCCAGCUGCAAUCCAUGGAACGCAGUCUUCUUGAUGAGAUAUUUCCCAGCCCCACCACACAGCAGAUGGCGAUGCUUUCUAUUCAUUCCUUGAGGACCAUGGGAAGAUGAGAGGGGAUAUGCCUCAAAGGUCAUAAAAGCCAUCUGACCUGAACUUGAAAGACCAAGUAGCCUGACCCAAAAGCUUAAUCCAACUGAUAGCUUUUCGGGUCGGCUGCAUCAGACAUCAUCAAAACAAUGCUUUCUGCCCUUCAAGGUGUAAUCUAAGGCCAAGGAGAUUGAGCUCUCAAUCCUCAGCUAUUGCUUCAGGCUUUAAAAGAGGAGUCACAAGAUCAACUCAAGCAAGAGGUGUUGUAUGUACUUCAGGCGAGUUGGAAAGGGAGGUGCAGAUCAACAAUGGGAAACGGUUCAGCACUUCAACAUUAAUUGACUGAACCAGAGAGCCAAUAUUAAUUUGAUAGGUUUUUUCAACAAGCACUUGUUACAUGUUUCAAUAGUUUUUACCAGACAUAUAGCAACUGGAGAAUUGUCCAGCAAUUAGCAAAUUAAUUUCUUGAGAGAGAAAAAAAAAACAUCUUUCUGUAUCUUUCAGGCAUGCACUGAGGCAGAACAAAGAUGGAGUUAACUAUAA